rnacentral:lncRNA from 1 species
AAGGUGGUAACCAAGGAUCUAUACGAGGAGUAUAGGCGUCCUCCGAUCAUAAGACUUAGGGGGUUUGGCUUUGGAGGUUGCAAAUUCACUCGAGGAUUAGUCUAUUCUAUCAGAAGGUGACAUGGCGCCGCCUUCUAACUAGAGCCAUUUUGAUUGCUAGAGGCAUGGAUAUGGCACUAAUGUGCCCGAGUUAUGAUAGGGGGGAGG